UACGUAGGGGGCAAGCGUUGUCCGGAUUUAUUGGGCGUAAAGAGCGUGUAGGCGGCCAGAUGGGUCUGUUGUGAAAACUCGAGGCUCAACCUCGAGACGCCGAUGGAAACCAUCUGGCUAGAGUCCGGAAGAGGAGAGUGGAAUUCCUGGUGUAGCGGUGAAAUGCGCAGAUAUCAGGAAGAACACCCGUGGCUAAGGCGGCUCUCUAGUACGGUACUGACGCUGAGACGCGAAAGCGUGGGGAGCGAACAGG
rnacentral:rRNA from 1 species